CCGGCCGUGGCCCCAGAGGGACCGAGUAUGGUGCGGAGAGAGGGUCUGGGGAAUAAAUCCCGGGAAUAAACCGCCGUUCCUUGGCCGGGACACGCCGCGGAACGUGCGGGCGCGCAGGAGGGUGACCCUGGGCUGAAGGUGUGAGGGGUGUCCUGCACCCCUGAGCGAGCCACCAGCCCGGCAUUUAAACUCCUCAGAUGGUCCCAGAGCAGCUCAAUGGUCUAAACUCCUCAAAUGCUCCAAGACCAGCUCAAAAUGAACUAUAUCCCUUUAUUUUAAACCAUCUGCUCAGGAGCUGAACGACAACUUUUAUUCUCCUGGGGCCACAGCAUGCUCUGGAGCCACAGGGUCUGUCCAGAGUGAUAAAAUUCUUUGCAUUCUUUCACCAGUGGAGCUCCAUCAUCCCCUGUUCCCUGUGUCCAGAGUGUUGCUCGGAAAACACUGUCAGUUCUGCAGAGAAGCACCGUUUUUCCAAGGGACGCUUGGCUUAGUGAAGAAUAGGGAGAAAAUGUUUUCCAAGAACUAAAUAAAGCACUGGAUUGUGUCUGGA